rnacentral:rRNA from 1 species
ACUCCUACGGGAGGCAGCAGUGGGGAAUAUUGCACAAUGGGCGCAAGCCUGAUGCAGCCAUGCCGCGUGUAUGAAGAAGGCCUUCGGGUUGUAAAGUACUUUCAGCAGUGAGGAAGGCAGGUACGUUAAUAGCGUGCUUGUUUGUACGUUAGCUGCAGAAGAAGCACCGGCUAACUCCGUGCCAGCAGCCGCGGUAAUACGGAGGGUGCGAGCGUUAAUCGGAAUUACUGGGCGUAAAGCGCAUGCAGGUGGUUUGUUAAGUCAGAUGUGAAAGCCCGGGGCUCAACCUCGGAAUUGCAUUUGAAACUGGCAGACUAGAGUACUGUAGAGGGGGUAGAAUUUCAGGUGUAGCGGUGAAAUGCGUAGAGAUCUGAAGGAAUACCGGUAGGCGAAGCGGCCCCUGGACAGAUACUGACACUCAGAUGCGAAAGCGUGGGAGC